rnacentral:rRNA from 1 species
CUUUACUGUAGCUUUGUAUUGGACUUUGAACAGAUCUGUGUAGGAUAGGUGGGAGGCUUUGAAGUGUGGUCGCUAGAUCGCAUGGAGCCAACGUUGAAAUACCGCCCUGGUGUGUUUGAGGUUCUAACCUAGGUCCAUUAUCUGGAUCGGGGACAGUGCAUGGUAGGCAGUUUGACUGGGGCGGUCUCCUCCCAAAGCGUAACGGAGGAGUUCGAAGGUACGCUAGGUACGGUCGGACAUCGUGCUAAUAGUGCAAUGGCAUAAGCGUGCUUAACUGCGAGACUGACAAGUCGAGCAGAUGCGAAAGCAGGACAUAGUGAUCCGGUGGUUCUGUAUGGAAGGGCCAUCGCUCAACGGAUAAAAGGUA